ensembl:lncRNA
GACAGCCUUCUACCAACUCUUUGGCAAGACUCAUGCAGAAGUGUAUUAGCUCCCCCACCAUCUUUUACAUUGUUCCCACAGCUGAAACAAGGAGUGUUUCAACAGUGAUUGUGUCAGUUUUCUUCUCUGCCUCAGAGGAUGUGCCCAUGAGAAGCUGUGUUAGAUGGGAUGGGAGAGCAGUGUGACACUGUACAAGAAUUAGACUGGAUGAAUCAGUGAAGACAGAUGACAUGAGUAUGUCGCUGACCCCCCAGCAUGGUGGAGCCAUGAGUGCUUGUGCCAGCUAUUUCUAGAUUAUGACUUACUGUUACUAUAGAGCAUUUUCAGCAUCAGCUGUAUGAAAAAAUUCAAUUUAUCAAACUUACUUUGAACACGAGCUGAAUCCAGAAUUUAACCCAAUUUAUGGACGGCUCAAGGGUCUGGGGUGGAGAUGUCUCUCAAAAUUCCUGUGCUGAAGUGUCCUCUCUGGUGAGAAUUUCCUGGAGGGUGGCGCAUUCUCAGGAGACAGUGUUUGCUGUAACAGUACUUGGCACCUCCCCGAAAGCUGCAGUGGUAUCACUGCCUACAUGAGAAUCCCGACAAAAAGAAGGUGGUUCUCUGGGGACUGACAAAUAAUGGAUCCAAUAUGUGGAUGCAAUCAACACUGACAUUAUGAGAGUUAAUAAUGCUCAUUAUCCUCCGGCUGUGUGCUCCCCAUGGCAAGAGAAAGGAUGUUAAUUUAACGUGUUUUUUAAUUAACUAACACUCUAAGUAGCCACAAGCCUCUAACUCAUGUUAUAGAAAUGAAAACAGAACCUCGAGGAAAGCUGCUUGUGUUGAAAAAGCCUCAAAAUUAUGUUAUCAGCCAAGCAACCAUGAAGUCUCUUCAUCUUUGAGAAUUUGCCUUUGGGAGUAUAAGAUCAUUUUAAUUUCACUUGUUUUUUUUAGUGUCCCAAGGUGGCAAAACAUAGAAACUACAAAAUGUCAUUUACCAGCGUUUUCUUGCUGAAAUACAUGCAGAGAUUUGAGGCCUCGCUUAUGACCAGUAAAGAACAAAGUGGAGCUCAGAAAUGAUCCAUUGGUACAGGACAGUUGGCAUAAAACAGCAAAAGAAAACUGAUCCUACUGGAUUUGAAAGCAGAUGAAAGGCUUCUCAACAUCUGUAGCUAAAAUGGAAGCAUGAGGGUCUGUCUGGAUGAGAUCUCCCCUGAGCUGCUGAUCCUUUCACUGAAGAAAGGCACAAUUCUGCUAAUCUCUGGAUCAUGCUAGACACCACUUGCAAAUACUUAUGUAAGCUUUAAUCACUCGAAGUUAAGCUAAACCUAAGCUUCUUGCCUGAGUUAACAGUACAAGUGCUUCUCAUAGAUAGUCACUGCCUAUCCCUUCUUGUGCCAACUGGUUUACGUACUUGAGUUGGGGUGGGAGGAAUAUCUCUGUGAAGGUGCCUAUUCUGUCUCCACUGCCGUGGUGAGAGCUUGGAUGAGUAGGUUAGACCAGCAGCAUAUCUGCUGGGUACCGAACUAGUGAGGCGAUUCUCACGCUUAUGUAGAUGGGAUCAUUGUGGCUACUGAUACAACCUUGGGCUUUGAUUAGGACAGCUGUAACAACAGCGUUCUUGGCUGUCUUUCAUAACAGAGUCCACUGACUGAGCUUCAUGCAAAUAAAGGCCCCUACUAGAUUUUAUCCAGAAGGCUCUUCCCAUGUACUCACUCCACUGUGCAUUCAAACUGGCAGAUAAUUAUUCCCUUCAGUCAUUAUUUUCAACUUACAGAAGGAAUGUCAAGCCAACACAAAAUGUUUUUGUACCAGUACGUAAGGAUUGUAUAAAAAGAAAAAUAUAAAUACAUAAAAUACAUACAAAAUUUUGCAAUGAUUACACGUUCAAAAAUGAUCGUGGUUUUAGAAGUUCCUAAAGGUGAUUUCAACUACUUAAAUUCUGCACUCCAACAAUUUAGGAACGUGCAAAUAGUCUGGCCCUGCAAUUCAACCAAGGGUAUGGUAAUUUUGAUGUGGAUUGCCAUCAUUCAAACUGCUCCAGCUAGUCUUGCCUGACCAAACCCUGUCUUCUAAGGGCUAGAUAAGCACGACUUUGUCAUUUUAAAUAGCUCCUCUGUCCGGGACAACUACUCAAAAUUUGGUAAUAUCAGUUGCUUUAGCAAAUUCGGGCCUAAAGAUGCUAUCACAGAAAUGCAUCUUGCCCAAACUCCUAAGUGUACUUACUGCCUCAGCAACUCAGUGCAUUUUCUGGUUCAACUUACUUAGAGCUAUGAGCUACAUCCUUGGGGGAAAAAAAUCAGCCUUCUUGCUGUGACUUUGGCAUAGAUUUAAAUCGGAGUAUUGCGUCCACUGAAGCUGAAACGUC